UACGUAGGGUGCGAGCGUUGUCCGGAAUUACUGGGCGUAAAGAGCUCGUAGGUGGUUUGGCCGCGUUGUUCGUGAAAUCUCACGGCUUAACUGUGAGCGUGCGGGCGAUACGGGCAGACUGGAGUACUGCAGGGGAGACUGGAAUUCCUGGUGUAGCGGUGGAAUGCGCAGAUAUCAGGAGGAACACCGGUGGCGAAGGCGGGUCUCUGGGCCGAUACUGACGCUGGAGGAGCGAAAGCGUGGGGAGCGAACAGG
rnacentral:rRNA from 1 species